rnacentral:lncRNA from 1 species
UACCCAAACUCAAAUCUUGUAGGACAUUUGCUGCUGUAAACUGUAGAGACUAGAAAAUGUUUUCUGCAGAUAAAGUGAUUAUUGUAAAUAUAUUUGUACACAGUAUACACUCACAUACAUGCAUAUAGCUAUCUUUUUGGAAUAUAUUCUCGUUAGACAGUCUUUCCACAAAAUGUCAAUACUCAAUAUAUUUUGUACAUUUUAAUAUGUAUUUUAUACAAAAAAAAAUGUAAAGCAGUGCCUAUUUUCAUAAACUCAUUUUCAAAUGUUACUGGAAGCAGCUCUCAGUCUUCUGACGCAUUACUCUUUCUUCAGCACUCCCUACAACCAAAGUGGGUUGAUGAACAGUAGUUUAAGCUAUAAAAAUGAGGCAAAUUCCCCAUCUCCUUAUGUUUUCCGUCAGCUACUGAAGCUCACAUUUACAUAAGAUUUGAAGAGCAACUUUCCAAGCUUGCUGAAAGUAGGGGAAAUCCACCCUGGUAACCAUACAACAGGUAUAAAACAAAGGAUUUGUCAAAGAUGAUUUAAUACCUGGCUGUGGCAAAUGACAUAACAAACAAUAGUUCUUGAGUUACCUUUGCGGGAAGACUCCUCUUCUAUCGGAGCCUGAAGGAGCUAUAUGGAAUUUCCUUUUCUUUCACCACAGAAGAAACCUCAAAAUUGAUGCUCAUGGAUUCACUCCUGAAAACUUCAAGUCAGACCUGUGGAGCUGGAGAUCUUCUCUGCAGAACCACAAUGAGGAGAGAAAUUAAUUGGAUUCUCCUCUGUCUCAUGUAUCACCAGGAGGAUUACUACUGUGUUUCUAUUAUUUGUACUGUACAUAACUAAUAUAUGUGUAUACACACCCAGUUAUGCUUCUGCAACCUCAUUCACCCAGUAGCUUCAGUGGAUUGACAUCAGCCUAACCAGAGACAGAAACCAUCCACAGAAAGCUGUAGCUGAAGAAUGAUUUGACAUCUUCUAUUGUUGCUAACAGUACAGGAGUUGGAGAGACCACAAUUUGAGAUCCAGGCUAAAUUUGCACAGUUGAUAGGUGAGUAAUGUCUUCAGUCUGGAUUCAUCUCACCUACCUGUAGGCAAAUAUUUCAGUCAAUGGAAGGUUAAGUAGACCUCAUGUCUGUAUUGGGUUAGCUGGGAGUGACAGACAGAGUCUGUCCACCUAAGAUCUGAAGCAUGUUCUAACGGUGCCUGUCUUGCUCACGGGAAGCCUUGUGAGACCCUGUUCCUAACUGGACACCUCAGGAAGCAUUAGCUGUCACCUGCCAA